rnacentral:lncRNA from 1 species
CAUAGAGCGAGUGGUUAGUGUUUGGUAGAGGGAACCGCAUGGUGAACUAAUGCUACCAACCCACUCGGGACUGAAGGGUGCUAUAGAUGGUGGUUGUGUGUUAUUGGACUACACUAAGAUGGCUGAUGGGUUUUAAUGGAACGUUAUGAUCAUCAGCGGUCUAUUCUGGAAGGUGAGGAACACCGGCGAGUGAGCUAACAUCGCAUUCUGAGACUGGAUUGAUACGGCCGAACCCGAUGUCUUCGUCAUCCAGACCAUCGAGCACCUGCGCAGCCAGCUGGAGAAACAGGGAAGAGGACAGUAUUUACAUGACACAUAGAAAUCUGAU